rnacentral:rRNA from 2 species
GCAGUCGAGCGAGAGAAGGGAGCUUGCUCCCGGAUGUUAGCGGCGGACGGGUGAGUAACACGUGGGUAACCUGCCUGUAAGACUGGGAUAACUCCGGGAAACGGAGCUAUGCCGGAUAGUUCCUUGUACCGCAUGGUUCAAGGAUGAAAGACGGUUUCGGCUGUCACUUACAGAUGGACCCGCGGCGCAUUAGCUAGUUGGUGGGGUAAUGGCUCACCAAGGCGACGAUGCGUAGCCGACCUGAGAGGGUGAUCGGCCACACUGGGACUGAGACACGGCCCAGACUCCUACGGGAGGCAGCAGUAGGGAAUCUUCCGCAAUGGACGAAAGUCUGACGGAGCAACGCCGCGUGAGUGAUGAAGGUUUUCGGAUCGUAAAGCUCUGUUGUUAGGUAAAAACAAGUGCGAGAGUAACUGCUCGCCCCUUGACGGUACCUAACCAGAAAGCCACGGCUAACUACGUGCCAACAGCCGCGGUAAUACGUAGGUGGCAAGCGUUGUCCGGAAUUAUUGGGCGUAAAGGGCUCGCAGGCGGUUUCUUAAGUCUGAUGUGAAAGCC